AAUCAUGGCUCAGGAUGAACGCUAGCGACAGGCCUAACACAUGCAAGUCGAGGGGCAGCGGAGAGGUAGCAAUACCUUUGCCGGCGACCGGCGCACGGGUGAGUAACACGUAUGCAAUCCACCUGUAACAGGGGGAUAACCCGGAGAAAUCCGGACUAAUACCCCAUAAUAUGGGCGUUCCGCAUGGAGAGCUCAUUAAAGAGAGCAAUUUUGGUUACAGACGAGCAUGCGCUCCAUUAG
rnacentral:rRNA from 1 species